rnacentral:rRNA from 1 species
ACGGUUAGGUAGAGGGGAGUCAGGCCUGCCCGGUGUCAGAAUAACCACUGAUAAACGGCUGCGGUGAAUAACCGUACUAAGGUAGCGUAAUCAAUUGUCCUUUAAUAGGGGAAUGGUAUGAAUGGUAUGACGAGGGAUAGACUGUUUCUAAGGCAAUUCGGGAGGUUGUCGGCGCCUAUUUACUUCUAUUCUUAAAGUUUCAGAUCUUUGCGGAGGAUUUCGGGGGAUUUGUGAUGUGUUGAUGGUGGGGGUGUGCAAGGAUGGUUGCUCAGUUGGACGCUGAAAUGCUUGAUCUGUGCUUCCUUUUAGGUGUGGAAGAAUACUUUAAAAGAAGUUUCUCUCCAAGUGAAAAAGCUUGGAUGUUUGUAAAAGAAGAGAAGACCCCGUCGAGCUUGCUUACUGGUAAUCAUAGGGUGGCAGCCUUGGUUGGCGGGAAGUUUGGUUGGGGCAACCGGGAGCUAAGAAGAACGCUCACUUUUUAGUACGUAGAUCCUGUAUAAUAGAUAAGAGGCAAAAGCUACCGCGGGGAUAACAGCGUAAUUCUCUCAAGGAGGCCGUAUCUGCUGGGGAGUUUGCGACAUCGAUGUUGGAUUAGGGUAUCUUUACAGCUGUAGCAGGUGUAGAAGUGGGUCUGUUCGCCCCUCAAAACCCUACAUGAUCUGAGUUCAGACCGGA